AUUGAACGCUGGCGGCAGGCCUAACACAUGCAAGUCGAACGAGAGGCGGACGGGUGAGUAAUGUCUGGGAAACUGCCCGAUGGCGGGGGAUGACUACUGGAAACGGUAGCUAAUACCGCAUACCAUCUGCUGUUCCCAGAUGGGAUUAGCUGGUGGGUGGGGUAACGGCUCACCUAGGCGACGAUCCCUAGCGGGUCUGAGAGGAUGACCAGCAACCUGGGAACUGAGACCGGGUCCAGACGCCUACGGGAGGCAGCAGUGGGGAAGAUUGCACAAUGGGCGCAAUCCGGAUGCAGCCAUGCCGCGUGUAUGAGGAAGGCCUUCGGGUUGUAAAGUACUUUCAGCGAGGAGGCGGUACCCGCAGAAGAAGCAACGGCUAACUCCGUGCCAGCAGCCGCGGUAAUAC
rnacentral:rRNA from 1 species